rnacentral:lncRNA from 1 species
CUACCAUGUGUGCGACAAUAUUAUAGAUAAUUAAGGAUCUUAAUGUGACUGUCUCGAAUGAAAGAGGAUGAACGAAAUGGGGGGUUAAGAGACUAAGAUACAACGACAUGAUUUGAAUUAGUAUGCUAGGAGGGAGACUUUUGUCCGCUAACGGUUCGUGUUGUUACAAUACCCUUGAUGUUGAUUCUAGUACCAAGACGAUUAGCCUUUAUCUUUUUGAAUUUGGAACCACGUGUAUUUACUUGUGAUGCUAUUUUCCUAAGUCUGUGUGUGAAAGUUGCUGCAUUAUACUGUUUUUUAUAUGCAAGCUAAGUUGCUUGAGGACAAGCAACGGUUCAAGUGUAGGGGAGUUUGAUAACACGUAAAAUGCACUAUUAUUUUGACUCAUCUUACACAUUUUUUGAUUUUGAUUUUAUAAAUUUUUGCAAUGUUAUGUUGGUAGUGUGUGUCUAUUUCAGGUAUUUAUCGGUUAAAGGUCUCCGCGCGUCAAAAUGAUGAAAUUCGGCGAAAAAAGGAAAGAAAGGGUAAAAAUGGAAAAGAAGGUUAAAAAGUCAGAAGUCAGUGGGAAGUAAAAGCCUGACCUAUUCUUUCCCCACGUUUCAGAAGCAGUUUGCCCACUUUCUUCAUUUUCUCCACUACUUGAGACAUGAUCAGAAGCACUUCAGAGCAGAUUUUUCCCUAUAAAUAGACCUGAAGAACUCAGUUGAAGACACCAAGCUUUUUAGAGAGAAACUGUGUUAUUUAGAAACUGCUUAUCGUAAUUUAAGCUUUUGUUUAGCUAUCGUACAAUUUUACAAUUUCAGAACCUUUGUUAAUUGCAAUUUUGAAUUAAGUAACUAUUUCAAUUGCUAGUUCCUGUUUUCAUCAUUCCUUUUUCAUUCCAACUUAGUUUUUCUUGCCAUAUUUUCCAAUUGCCGUGUUGCUACCUACCUUGCUAUAACUCAAGCCGUGAGUCUAUAUUGUUGGGUGGCUAUUUAAUUGAAUUUCCAUUGCUAAGAAUUCAAUAGUGCCGUGUGUAUUUCUUCAAAUUCCUGGCUGCACCGUCCGUUCAUUUCACUUUCAAUUGGAGAAUUGGAGUUUCAUUCAAUUCCAAUUGCUUGUAAUUGUUGUGCUU